GAAAUGCGAUAAGUAGUGUGAAUUGCAGAAUUCAGUGAAUCAUCGAAUCUUUGAACGCAUAUUGCGCCCCUUGGUAUUCCAUGGGGCAUGCCUGUUCGAGCGUCAUCUACACCCUCAAGCUCUGCUUGGUGUUGGGCGUCUUUGUCCCGCCUCCGCGCGCGGACUCGCCCCAAAUUCAUUGGCAGCGGUCCUUGCCUCCUCUCGCGCAGCACAUUGCGCUUCUCGAGGUGUUGCGGCCCGCGUCCAGAAAGCAAUCGUUACCGUCUUUGACCUCGGAUCAGGUAGGGAUACCCGCUGAACUUAAGC
rnacentral:misc_RNA from 1 species